rnacentral:rRNA from 1 species
GUCGAACGGUAACAGGCCGCAAGGUGCUGACGAGUGGCGAACGGGUGAGUAAUGCAUCGGAACGUGCCCAGUCGUGGGGGAUAACGCAGCGAAAGCUGUGCUAAUACCGCAUACGAUCUAUGGAUGAAAGCGGGGGACCGUAAGGCCUCGCGCGAUUGGAGCGGCCGAUGUCAGAUUAGCUAGUUGGUGGGGUAAAGGCCCACCAAGGCGACGAUCUGUAGCUGGUCUGAGAGGACGACCAGCCACACUGGGACUGAGACACGGCCCAGACUCCUACGGGAGGCAGCAGUGGGGAAUUUUGGACAAUGGGCGCAAGCCUGAUCCAGCAAUGCCGCGUGCAGGAAGAAGGCCUUCGGGUUGUAAACUGCUUUUGUACGGAACGAAACGGUCCGGGUUAAUACCCUGGGCUAAUGACGGUACCGUAAGAAUAAGCACCGGCUAACUACGUGCCAGCAGCCGCGGUAAUACGUAGGGUGCAAGCGUUAAUCGGAAUUACUGGGCGUAAAGCGUGCGCAGGCGGUGAUGUAAGACAGGCGUGAAAUCCCCGGGCUCAACCUGGGAAUUACGCUUGUGACUGCAUCGCUGGAGUGCGGCAGAGGGGGAUGGAAUUCCGCGUGUAGCAGUGAAAUGCGUAGAUAUGCGGAGGAACACCGAUGGCGAAGGCAAUCCCCUGGGCCUGCACUGACGCUCAUGCACGAAAGCGUGGGGAGCAAACAGGAUUAGAUACCCUGGUAGUCCACGCCCUAAACGAUGUCAACUGGUUGUUGGGUCUCUUCUGACUCAGUAACGAAGCUAACGCGUGAAGUUGACCGCCUGGGGAGUACGGCCGCAAGGUUGAAACUCAAAGAAAUUGACGGGACCCGCACAAGCGGUGGAUGAUGUGGUUUAAUUCGAUGCACGCGAAAACCUUACCCACCUUUGACAUGUACGAUUUGCAGAGAUGGCUUAGU